CGUGGAGAAUGCAGAACCAGACUUGAAAACUCACAAGUGACAGUGAAAGGUGUAUUUGAGGCAACAAAACUGGUGGAUUAUGUAAGCAAAAGGACUGGAAAACGGGCAGUAAUCAUUAAAGUAGAACCCGAAAAGAAACCCGAGGAGGAGACGAAGCCCAAAGAAGAAAAAAAACCCGACGAAAAAAAAGCGAAGAAAGUUGAAGAAAACAAAGAGGAGAAGAAGAAAGAACUAGCAGGGGCACCAGCUAAAGAAGAAGCAGCAGCAACACAAGCUAAAGAAGAAACUGUUCAAAACAAGUUUAGGAUGUGUUUGCACCCUGUUUGAAAAGAUCAAUAUGAGAAUAUUGCUAUGUCACAAGAAGACGUAGUUCAUGCUCUUGUUGAUGAGUAUAGUGGGGAGGAAUCGGAUCAUGUCCCUAACACCCAACAUUGAUUUUUUUGAUUCGUAUACUUUUGGAUUGUAAUAUUGCUAUGUUUUCUUGGAUAUGUAUAUUUUUUUUAUGAUAGUUUUAAUUCGAAUUAGAUGUACUUGUGAAGGUGAAUUUGAUUGUAGGAAGUAGCUUAUGGAUGUUUUAACUUUACGAUGUUUAAGUGUUUGAAUAUAAAAAGUAGUUUAUGGUUGUUUAA